ensembl:lncRNA
UUUAUCCAAAUGUAUCUUUAGAACUCAACUGCUAUCCAGCAAAUUCUCUUCCUCACAGUUUCUCUUGGGAAGAUCCAAGCCUUCAAGCAUUGUAUCAUGGAGCACUCUUUUCUUUUUUUCUUCCUAUGACUGUUGCAUAUUAGGUAGAAUUCUUUACUGAGCAAUAAUUCAACUUGCUUGCACUGACCAUCCAACUUUAAUUUUCUUGGCUGCUGAGAUAUUUAGCUCUUUUAGGCUGAACCUUGGAAUUUACUUCCAAGACAAGGAUAAUCUGAGAAAUUCUAGACUCAACUCAUUUGGCUUUUGAUGAGGCUUCAAAAUCAUUGAAUUUGAAUUAAAUUUGAACUCUUCUGACUGAGCACUCAGGAAAGAGGCUGAAGUCUUUAAGAAAACUCAGCAAUAGAGAGAGGGAAGAGUCGCUCUAGAAAUUUUAAUGUGUUGCCACCUUCAAGCAACACUGCUCUGUGCAUCCAAACAGAAGACUUGGGAAGAAUGGAAGAGAGAGAGCAUCAGUCAAUCUGUUAAGAUAAAUGCUCCAUGA